rnacentral:rRNA from 1 species
UAAUACAUGNCAAGUCGAGCGNCACAGAAGGGAGCUUGCUCCCGGAUGUUAGCGGCGGACGGGUGAGUAACACGUGGGUAACCUGCCUGUAAGACUGGGAUAACUCCGGGAAACCGGAGCUAAUACCGGAUAGUUCCUUGAACCGCAUGGUUCAAGGAUGAAAGACGGUUUCGGCUGUCACUUACAGAUGGACCCGCGGCGCAUUAGCUAGUUGGUGGGGUAAUGGCUCACCAAGGCGACGAUGCGUAGCCGACCUGAGAGGGUGAUCGGCCACACUGGGACUGAGACACGGCCCAGACUCCUACGGGAGGCAGCAGUAGGGAAUCUUCCGCAAUGGACGAAAGUCUGACGGAGCAACGCCGCGUGAGUGAUGAAGGUUUUCGGAUCGUAAAGCUCUGUUGUUAGGGAAGAACAAGUGCGAGAGUAACUGCUCGCACCUUGACGGUAC